UACGUAGGGCGCAAGCGUUAUCCGGAAUUAUUGGGCGUAAAGAGCUCGUAGGCGGUUUGUCGCGUCUGCCGUGAAAGUCCGGGCUCAACCUCGGAUCGGCCGUGGCGACUCGUGGGCUGGAGCACUGUAGAGGCGGGUGGAAUUCCGGUGUAGCGGUGGAAUGCGUAGAGAUCCGGAAGAACACCAGUGGCGAAGGCGGCCGCUGGGCAGUGGCUGACGCUGAGGCGCGACAGCGUGGGAGCAACGA
rnacentral:rRNA from 1 species